CACGUAGGGCGCAAGCGUUGUCCGGAAUUAUUGGGCGUAAAGAGCUCGUAGGCGGUCUGUUGCGUCUGCUGUGAAAACCCGGGGCUUAACCCCUGGCUUGCAGUGGAUACGGACAGACUAGAGGUAGGUAGGGGAGAAUGGAAUUCCCGGUGUAGCGGUGAAAUGCGCAGAUAUCAGGAGGAACACCAAUGGCGAAGGCAGCUCGCUGGGACGUGACUGACGCUGAGACGCGAAAGCGUGGGGAGCAAACAGG
rnacentral:rRNA from 1 species